GGAGGAGUGCCCGAGUGGUUAAAGGGGACGGACUGUAAAUCCGUUAGCUUGGCUUACGUUGGUUCGAAUCCAACCUCCUCCACCA
rnacentral:tRNA from 14 species